UCAUUGGUGGUUCAUUGGUAGAAUUCUUGCCUCCCAUUUGGGAGACCCGGGGUUCAAUUCCUUGCCAAUGUA
rnacentral:tRNA from 1 species